AGUCACUGACAUUAGAUACCCCCUGUAGUCCAGGGUGUAAACGCUGCAGACUUGGUGUUGGAGGCCCUUUGGGGGCAUUCAGUGCCGGAGAGAAGUUGUUAAGUCUGCUACUUGGGGAGUACGUCCGCAAGGAUGAAACUUAAAGGAAUUGGCGGGGGAGCACCGCAACGGGAGGAGCGUGCGGUUUAAUUGGAUUCAACGCCGAAAAACUCACCAGCAGCGACUGUUACAUGAAAGUCAGGUUGAUGACCUUACUAGAUUUUCAG
rnacentral:rRNA from 1 species